rnacentral:piRNA from 1 species
UACACAUGAGUUGUGUUGAGUUCCUGC